AUUGAACGCUGGCGGCAUGCCUUACACAUGCAAGUCGAACGGUAACGCGGGGCAACCUGGCGACGAGUGGCGAACGGGUGAGUAAUGCAUCGGAACGUGCCCGGUAGUGGGGGAUAACUGCUCGAAAGAGCAGCUAAUACCGCAUACGACCUGAGGGUGAAAGGGGGGGAUCGCAAGACCUCUCGCUAUCGGAGCGGCCGAUGUCGGAUUAGCUAGUUGGUGAGGCAAAGGCCUACCAAGGCAACGAUGCGUGGCUGGUCUGAGAGGACGACCAGCCACACUGGGACUGAGACACGGCCCAGACUCCUACGGGAGGCAGCAGUGUGGAAUUUUGGACAAUGGACGCAAGUCUGAUCCAGCCAUGCCGCGUGCGGGAAGAAGGCCUUCGGGUUGUAAACCGCUUUUGUCAGGGAAGAAAUCCUCUGGGUUAAUACCUCGGGAGGAUGACGGUACCUGAAGAAUAAGCACCGGCUAACUACGUGCCAGCAGCCGCGGUAAUAC
rnacentral:rRNA from 1 species